GUGGAGUUAAUGCUAUGCACAUCUCUUCAAAUUUCGUGACUAACUUUCGGGUUGUUUGAUGUUCUACAUACAGAUUAUUAUUGGCCAAAAGAGCUUUAAUCUGCCAAUAUGCAAAUUUAGAUUGUGGUGGAAGUGUAAAUUCUGAUUGGAGAAUCGAAAAAGACUUUAACCCCUCUAUAGUAUAAAGUUUAAAAAUGUGUGUGAUUCCUUUU